rnacentral:rRNA from 1 species
AUUGAACGCUGGCGGCAGGCUUAACACAUGUAAGUCGAGCGGGGUGAUGGUGCUUGCACUAUCACUUAGCGGCGGACGGGUGAGUAAUGCUUAGGAAUCUGCCUAUUAGUGGGGGACAACAUCUCGAAAGGGAUGCUAAUACCGCAUACGUCCUACGGGAGAAAGCAGGGGAUCACUUGUGACCUUGCGCUAAUAGAUGAGCCUAAGUCGGAUUAGCUAGUUGGUGGGGUAAAGGCCUACCAAGGCGACGAUCUGUAGCGGGUCUGAGAGGAUGAUCCGCCACUCUGGGACCGAGACACGGCCCAGACUCCUACGGGAGGCAGCAGUGGGGAAUAUUGGACAAUGGGGGGAACCCUGAUCCAGCCAUGCCGCGUGUGUGAAGAAGGCCUUAUGGUUGUAAAGCACUUUAAGCGAGGAGGAGGCUCUUUUGGUUAAUACCCAAGAUGAGUGGACGUUACUCGCAGAAUAAGCACCGGCUAACUCUGUGCCAGCCGCCGCAGUAA